AUACAGAGGGUGCAAGCGUUAAUCGGAUUUACUGGGCGUAAAGCGCGCGUAGGUGGCUAAUUAAGCCAAAUGUGAAAUCCCCGAGCUUAACUUGGGAAUUGCAUUCGAUACUGGUUAGCUAGAGUAUGGGAGAGGAUGGUAGCAUUCCAGGUGUAGCGGUGAAAUGCGUAGAGAUCUGGAGGAAUACCGAUGGCGAAGGCAGCCAUCUGACCUAAGACUGACACUGAGGUGCGAAAGCAGGGGGAGCAAACAGGAUUAGAUACCCUGGUAGUCCAUGCCGUAAACGAUGUCUACUAGCCGUUGGGGCCCUUGAGGCUUUAGUGGCGCAGCUAACGCGAUAAGUAGACCGCCUGGGGAGUACGGUCGCAAGACUAAAACUCAAAUGAAUUGACGGGG
rnacentral:rRNA from 1 species